rfam:Lysinibacillus sp. BF-4 contig00003, whole genome shotgun sequence.
UAAAUCCUAGGCUAUACGUUUAGUUUUAUUUUUGAUUGACCGACACCAGUAACUAGGAAACUUUAAUUUCAAUUACAAAAAUACGCCUUUUACAUAGAAGGACAUUUGCGUACUUGAUGCGAGUAUCCACCUUCACAUAGAAGGGUUCAAUCAACUUUAAGCGACGGUAGCUUUGGAUUUUU